rnacentral:rRNA from 1 species
UGGGGAAUUUUGGACAAUGGGGGCAACCCUGAUGACGCAACGCCGCGUGGGGGAUGAAGGUCUUCGGAUCGUAAACCCCUGUCGAAUGGGACGAAAGACUCGCGAGUGAAUACUUCGCGAGAGUGACGGUACCGUUAAAGGAAGCCACGGCUAACUCUGUGCCAGCAGCCGCGGUAAUACAGAGGUGGCAAGCGUUGUUCGGAAUUACUGGGCGUAAAGGGCGCGUAGGCGGCCCUCUAAGUCAGACGUGAAAUCCCCCGGCUUAACCUGGGAACUGCGUCUGAUACUGGAGGGCUUGAGUAUGGGAGAGGGAUGUAGAAUUCCAGGUGUAGCGGUGAAAUGCGUAGAUAUCUGGAGGAAUACCGGUGGCGAAGGCGGCAUCCUGGACCAUUACUGACGCUGAGGCGCGAAAGCUAGGGGAGCAAACGGGAUUAGAUACCCCCGUAGUCCCUGAGCGGGCUGGCAAGGCGCAU